UCUGUUUUGUCCUAUUUUUUAAUUAAAAUUUUUUAUUUAUUCUAAAAUAUUUUACUAAUUAGGAAUUUGAGUAACAGAAAUGAAGCCUGGUUUAGAAUGCACAAGAAUGUGAUUUAGAGCUAACACAGAUGUGCUGAUCACAAGAAGACCUCUAGAGAUCAUCCAGCCUUUCCUUUACCUUUUUAUUAUAUUCAGGUUCUCAACAGUUUGGAUAAUGUUUCACCUGUGUCAGCAGAUUUUCUUUACUCAGUCUACCAAUUCAAAUUCUAAUUUCUUCCAGAAACACCCUCACAGACACACUCAGAAAUAAUGUUUUACCAGCUAUCUGGGCAUUCCUUAGCCUAGACAAGUUGACACAUAAAAUUAACCAUUACACAUUUGUAGUUAAGGGUGGCCAUGCUAAAAAUUUUGCAAAUGUAACAUACUUGGGAGUAACCUCUUCUCCUUAUUCUUUUUCCUUCCUAAAACUCUGGAGGUACAGUAGUUGUUUUGAGACCAUGGAGACUGAAUAUACUAUAGGGAAGAAGAGCAGGACAACUAAAGGAACUGGGUACCUGAUGGCAUUAUUUAGAUACAGAAUCCAGCCUGGAUUGCACACUCCCAGGUUUUUGCUGUGUGACUAAAUAAGAAUUAACCACUACAUUAGAUUUUCUUGCAUUCACUUGAAUGCAAUCCUAGCAGCUACACUCAACAUAUCUCUAAUUUAUAUUAUCCUAUGUCUCUCACCUUUCUUCUUAUUUCUCACCUUUUCUCAUAUCCAUGAGUGGUACUCCCAUUAGUCCAGGAUCUCAAACCAGAAUUACAGAGUGAAAUUCAAUUCUUCCAUCUCCUUCAUGAUCCUGUCCUCCUAAUACCUCUUUAACAUUGCAUCAGUCCAUCUACUUCUCUUUGUCCUGCUGCCAUAUGUUAGUACAGGAUUUGCCUAGAUUAUUGUAGCAAACUUUUUUUUUUUUUUUUUUUUUUAGAUGGAGUUUUGCUCUUGUUGCCCAGGCUGGAGUGCAAUGGCAGCUAUCUCAGCUCACUGUAACCUCUGCCUCGCGGGUUCAAGCGAUUCUCCUGCCUCAGCCUCCUGAGUAGCUGGGAUUACAGGCAUGCCCCACCAUGCCUGGCUAAUUUUGUAUUUUUAGUAGAGACAGGGUUUCUCCAUGCUGGUCAGGCUGGCCUCGAACGCCCGGCCUCAGGUGAUCUGCCUGCCUCGGCCUCCCAAAGUGCUGGGAUUAUAGUGUGAGCCACCAUGCCCGGCCUGUAGCAAACAUUUAAAACUGAUCUCUGUGUAUUUAGUCUUGCUCUACUUCAGGACAUUCUCAAUACUGCAGCAAAAGUUAUUCUAAAAUGCAAAUCUCAUUUUGGCAGGGAUGCUGCUAAAUAUCCUACAGUGCACAGAACGGCCACCAACGACCAAGAAUUAUCCAGUCCAAAAUGUCAGUAAAGCUGAGGUUAAGAAAUCCUGUUCCAGAAUAUCACAUUUUUUGAAUUGUGACUCCAAAGGCAAAGAAGGAAGUGCUCCUAAUUUGAACUAAUCUAAUAGUCACAUGGAGGAUUCUGACUGGCCCAUGUGGGGCCUUGUGCUCAUGUUCUAAGGAAUCAUUGUUGCUUGAAGCAUGGACAACUCUGGCCUGACAUGGUCCCUGGCUCGUACCUGUGACAGGACACUGAGACCUCCUGCUGGGACUCUACAGGAACUCAACUGCAGACUAGGAGGCAAAGGAGCCGACGGAUGUAUUCCACACUGAACAGCAUCCUGGGAUCCAGAGGGGUAAACAAGACGUCUGGUACCAUCACUCCUGGCCCCUCAGCAUCUACUUUUCGUUGCAGGAAAAGUUUGUGUCUCCAUCACAGGGGACACAUGAAGUUCCAUCAGCUACCAAAUCAUAACAGGGUAACAUCAGUUGAGUAGCAGCUGUGCCUGAAAUGAAAACAUUAAUGAUCACUGAGUUCUCCACGUAAGGUAGCAGAGGAAAAAAGGAAAAACAAAUAACACCAACAGUAGCUGAUACUAUCCCCAAAUCUGUAGCUGGACACAGAGCAUAAUUUGGUAAGCAGAAUUCCUUUUUCUACCAUACAUCCUAUCUCUAUGUUCUCCUUUCCCUUUGCCAGCACUAUGGUUGGACAGGGAUUCUCUCCUGGUAGGAUAAUCUGAACUUUCAUUUCUCUAAGUCCUACAAUAAAUAAGCAAAUUGAUUCCAGCAUCUUCUUUUGAGCAUCUGUUUCCUGAGGUCAUUUUUGUACUAUUAAUAAAUGUAGCAGGAAAUGUAUGGCAACUCAAAUGAAGAUAAUUCAAGGA
rnacentral:lncRNA from 1 species